AUACGGAGGAUCCAAGCGUUAUCCGGAAUCAUUGGGUUUAAAGGGUCCGCAGGCGGCCUGUUAAGUCAGAGGUGAAAUCCUACAGCUCAACUGUAGAACUGCCUUUGAUACUGAUAGGCUUGAGUUAUUGUGAAGUGGUUAGAAUGUGUGGUGUAGCGGUGAAAUGCUUAGAUAUCACACAGAAUACCCAUUGCGAAGGCAGAUCACUAACAAUAUACUGACGCUCAUGGACGAAAGCGUGGGGAGCGAACGGGAUUAGAUACCCCGGUAGUCCACGCCGUAAACGAUGGAUACUAACUGUUCGACCUUCGGGUUGAGUGGUCAAGCGAAAGUGAUAAGUAUCCCACCUGGGGAGUACGCUCGCAAGAGUGAAACUCAAAGGAAUUGGACGGGGGCCCGCACAAGCGGUGGAGCAUGUGGUUUAAUUCGAUGAUACGCGAGGAACCUUACCAGGGCUUAAAUGUAGUGGGACAGGUCUAGAGAUAGACCCUUCUUCGGACUCAUUACAAGGUGCU
rnacentral:rRNA from 1 species